rnacentral:lncRNA from 1 species
CAACUUCUCCCCUAUCUCCCACGCAUUCACUGGCGUCAGGCCGCCCCACUUAAUUCUAGGUCUACACUCCCUACUCCUCCUCUUUCUAUUCUUCUUUAUACCCAAAUCCAUAACCAAGAGCCUAUGAUGGGUUGAAAGAUUCUCAGUCGGGAUGACCUUAUAGUCCUUACACCACGCCCUAUCCCCUUUCCUAAGCAACAAAAAGUCAAUCUGGGUCCUGGCUAUCGCGCUUCGAAAGGUGAUUAGGUGCUCGUCCUUCUUCGGGAAGCCCGAGUUCACAACCACCAGCCCAAAGGAACUUGCAAACUCCAAUAGGGUAGCCCCCUCUUCAUUUCUCUCCCCAAAACCAAAAUCACCAUGCACAUCACCAAAGCCUCCCGGUAGCGCCCUGAUGUGCCCGUUGAAAUCUCCUGCUA